rnacentral:rRNA from 1 species
AAUCAACGCUGGCGGCGUGCCUAACACAUGCAAGUCGAGCGCGAAUGGGGAGCAAUCCCCUAGUAGAGCGGCGAACGGGUGAGUAACACGUGGGUGAUCUGCCUCCGAGUGGGGAACAACAGCGGGAAACUGCUGCUAAUACCGCAUGACAUCAUCGAGUCACAUCGAUGAUCAAAGCCGGGGACCGCAAGGCCUGGCGCUUGGAGAGGAGCCCGCGUCCGAUUAGCUAGUUGGCGGGGUAAUGGCCCACCAAGGCAACGAUCGGUAGCCGGCCUGUGAGGACGGACGGCCGCACUGGGACUGAGACACGGCCCAGACUCCUACGGGAGGCAGCAGUGGGGAAUUUUUCGCAAUGGGGGAAACCCUGACGAAGCAACGCCGCGUGGGGGAUGAAGGUCUUCGGAUUGUAAACCCCUGUCGACCGGGACGAAUGCACCUGGCCUAAUACGCCGGCGUGUUGACUGUACCGGUGGAGGAAGCCACGGCUAACUCUGUGCCAGCCGCCGCAGUAACAC